UACGUAGGGGGCAAGCGUUGUCCGGAUUUAUUGGGCGUAAAGAGCGUGUAGGCGGCCAAGCAGGUCAGCUGUGAAAACUCGAGGCUCAACCUCGAGACGUCGGUUGAAACCGCUUGGCUAGAGUCCGGAAGAGGAGAGUGGAAUUCCCGGUGUAGCGGUGAAAUGCGCAGAUAUCUGGAGGAACACCGGUGGCGAAGGCGGCAUCCUGGACCAACACUGACGCUGAGUGAGCGAAAGCCAGGGGAGCAAACGGG
rnacentral:rRNA from 1 species